rnacentral:lncRNA from 1 species
UUGAGGACAUUCUUGCAGAGCUCAGAUCCAUCCACAUCCAACGCUGCAACCCAGAAUGCGGCAGCAAGAAGCCGGGAGGGUGGUGGUGGCGAUGGUGUUGGGAGGAGGCUGCACCAGCUGCACCACCAUGGGAAUGUGGAUCUUGGCAAGAAAUCGUCCGGGGUGGCAAGGCGGCGCCUGGCAUUGUUGCAGCAGGAAAAUGGAGUGGAUUGCAGCGACAGCAAGGGACCUGGUGAAGAACAUGGAGGAGCUGGAGAUGCUCACAGGAGCGUGCCAUUGCCAUGCACCGGCGGCGAGGUGGGCAGCAAGUCGGAGCCGGCGGCGGCGGUUGCACCGGCGGUGAUCGUGGAUGUGAAGGAGGAGGAGAAGAGCGUCGGCAAUGGCGGCGGCGGCGGUGGAGCCAAGAAGCGGCGAGGUGGUGGCGCGCCGGCGGUGCUGAUGGAGGGGUCACGGUGCAGCCGCGUGAACGGGCGAGGGUGGCGGUGCAGCCAGCCGACGCUCGUCGGCUACGCGCUCUGCGAGCACCACCUCGGCAAGGGAAGGAUGCGGAGCGUCACCGGCGGCGGCGGGGGACGCGGCGGCGCCAGCCAGCUCGGCCGCACCGAGCACCGGCCGCCGGCGACGGCGAGGAACCCCGCCGCCGCGGCGGCGCCGCCGCCCAAGGCCGACGAGCCAGGCCCGAAUCAUAUCGCGCACCAUUAA